AGAGAGAGAGGCAGAGACACAGGCAGAGGGAGAAGCAGGCUCCAUGCACCGGGAGCCCGACGUGGGACUUGAUCCCGGGUCUCCAGGAUCGCGCCCUGGGCCAAAGGGAGGCGCCAAACCGCUGCGCCACCCAGAGAUCCCCCCACCCUGGUUUUAAUGAAAAAUCCGUGAUGUCCGUCACUGUGUACGUUGGAGGCACAGACCCCAGCUCACACGAUGACUGAGGUCUAUCGUGGCGCGGUCACCACAACAGGUGCAGCCGGCGUCCGUCUCACAUAGAGUCCGCGUGUGGUGAGGUCAUGGCGGGAUUCACGUCACGUAGCGCGCUGCUUCCAAGGCCCAUCCCUGUUGUAGGAUCCCCUCGUUUUCUGUGGCCACAUCGUGCUCCUUUACACACGCACACACACCUGCGUCUGCACUUGAACCUGCGCCCGUGUCGCCACCCAAUCCACUCGUCCCCCCGCGGAUGCUCUGCGGGUUCCUCCGUGGGCGGGGCGGGGCUGCGGGGGGUGCCCUGUCCCUUCCUCUCUCAGCUGGAAGUGGUGGUGGACGAGGGGGAGCGAAGACCCCAGGCCUGGAGGCACCCGCCCUGUUAAUGAUUGAACCUAAUGACUUGGACUUGCCGAUGUGAUGGAAAAUUCUGCAGCCGCGGAGCAGGAGGAGGCAGGCCGGGGCCCACACGCCGGGGAACAGGGUGCCUCCGACUGGGCGGCUUCGAGCAGCGGGGACUUGGGCCGCGGUCCUGGAGCCGGGGCCUGGGAUCCAGGGGCCGGCAGGGCUCUAGGGAGGACCCCCUCCUGGCCUCUCCCAGUGCUGGUGGCCCCGGGGGCUCCUGGCGCGGGGCCGGUGCCUCUCUCUGGCCCGUCCUCUCCUUGCUUCGGGGCUCCCCCCGAAAUCCAGGACGCUUUCAUCUCAAGAGCUGCAACCAAGCACGUCCGCCAAGACCCCAUCUCCAGACAAGGCCGCACCUGAGGUUCUGGGUGCACGCGAGGGUUCUGGAGACGCCAGGAGCCGGGCAGCGAGAGCCCCGGGGGGCAGGGGGACAGCCUCACCCCGAGCGCUGCGCGGGGCCCUGCCUCUCCCCGUCUCCCCGUCUCCCUGGGGGGAAGGGCUCAGCAUCUCUGGGAGGGGCUGGCCUGGCUCUCAAGAGGCCUGGGGGGCUCUUCCUGGAGAGUGAGGGGUGAAGGGCCCAGGGGGUGAAGCAGGGAAGAAGGGCAGCGAUACUUUAUUGGGCUGCUCAGUGGGGCUGACUUUUCCCCUUGCCCUUGUGUGUAAAAAAUCAGGGAAGACUCUUUUUUUUUUUUUUAAGAUUUUAUUUAUUUAUUCAUGAGACACACAGAGAGGCCGAGACCCAGGCAGAGGGAGAAGCAGGCUCCACGCGGGGAGCCCGACGUGGGACUCAAUCCUGGGACCCUGGGGUCACGCCCUGGGCCGAAGGCGGUUGCUCACCCGCUGAGCCCCCCGGGCGCCCCCAAACCAGGGAAGAAUCCUAAGGAUUUUGCUCGCUGUCAAGUAAGAGACAGGCAUUGAGCCUUGCGCGGGAGCAGGGACAACCUGGCCGCCCCCGAAUGAAGACUGGCCACCGUCUGCCGUCACCGCCGCCUGUGGGCCCUGCUUCAGUGGGAGCGGCCGAGGCCCGGGCCGGGGGGCUGGGGGCCGGGGGCUGGGUCGACCACCUGUGUGUCCGGUCCCCCCUCCUCCUUCGCCCCCCAGGCCUGCCCGUCCCCCACAGUGAGCUGCGCCGGGGAGGGGCCGGGGCGCCGGGGGCUGAUGGGCAGCGUCGCCCUCCCCCGGCGGGCAGGGUCCCAGCUCCUCCCCUCUAUGUCCUCUGGGGCCUCUGCCCCGUCCUCCGCUGGCUCCCCGACUCGAGGAACGUGACCCCCUUUCCCCAGCCGUCAGGGUCCUCUAGUCCCUUGAGGAAGCCCCACAGGGCAGCGUCCGAGGGGCGCGCGGGGCUCGCUUGCUCCUCUCCCACGGCCCAGAGCAGAGUUUCCUGGCCGGGCGGACGGGCCGGGCUCCUCGGCUCCUCCAGGCCCCUCUGCCCUCAACUCCAGAGGCUCCGUACUCGGCUCUUGGGGUGACCCCUGGGCGCCCGCUAGGCCUGCUCUAAGGCGGGGGCCCCUUUCUCCUUCCUCCUAUCCCUACUGUGCCUCCCCCCAAAUCCUCCUUUCUCUCCAUGUUAGGACUUAAAAAAAAAUACCCUUCAUCUGGCUGAGGCGGCCAGAAACCAGUUCUUAAAGAUCCCCCUCGAAAUUCGUCUUAGGGUGACUUGGCACUUGGCCUUAAAACUCGGGGUGCCCGGGUGGCCCCGUCGUGUCAGUGCGCGCGUCUCGGUUUCCGCUCAGGCCAUGGGUCGCACGUGCACAGCCCCCCAGGCCCUGCGCUCGGAGGGGGGCUGCUGGGCUUCCCUCCGCCCCUUCCCCUGCUCCCGGCGAGGGGGCCUCUCUCAAAUACGUAAAUAAAUACGAUUUCAUCCGUUGUGUCU